rnacentral:sRNA from 1 species
UGAUUGGGACAAUAUUUGGGGCACUUCGCCGGUCCCGACUUCCAGAAUUUCCGUGUGGUCUGUGAAUUUAUCACCGCUACACUGUCA